ensembl:snoRNA SNORA62 Small nucleolar RNA SNORA62/SNORA6 family
UGUGCACACUGUUAAAACCUGGCACUGAUGUUGGUGUUCAGGUGUCGGAAGUGUGCAAGAGUAAUCUGGCCGGUUUUCGCUAACACCAUGAGGACAGAUGUCCUAUGACUGGGGUUUGAUAGUAACCUGGGCCACAGUA